AAACGAUGCCACCAGCGAUCAUCCUGAGUUGAUUUCUUAAUGACUCGGGUGGAAGCUUCCGGGAAACCAAAGUCUUUGGGUUCCGGGGGAAGUAUGGUUGCAAAGCUGAAACUUAAAGGAAUUGACGGAAGGGCACCACCAGGAGUGGAGCCUGCGGCUUAAUUUGACUCAACACGGGAAAACUCACCCGGCCCGGACACUGAGAGGAUUGACAGAUUGAGAGCUCUUUCUUGAUUCAGUGGGUGGUGGUGCAUGGCCGUUCUUAGUUGGUGGAGCGAUUUGUCUGGUUAAUUCCGAUAACGAACGAGACUCUAGCCUACUAAAUAGACUUGCGGUUUACACUGCAGUACUCCCCCUUGGUUGGCCUCUAGGGGUUGCAGUAUCUUGUGAGGGGUUCGCCUUUUGCAAGCUCUGCUGUUGACUUACCUAGGGGAUUCUCCAGGGUAGGGAUGCUGUAGCACCGUAAGGACUUCUUAGAGGGACAAGCGGCGUCCGCAGCCGCACGAAACAGAGCAAUAACAGGUCUGUGAUGCCCUUAGAUGUCCGGGGCCGCACGCGCGCUACACUGAAGUGGCCAUCGUGCUUAAGCAUUCCUGCUCCGAAAGGAGUGGGUAACCGCUUGAACCCAUUUCGUGAUGGGGAUUGGGCAUUGUAAUUAUUGCCCAUGAACGAGGAAUUCCCAGUAAGCGUGAGUCAUUAGCUUGCGUUGAUUACGUCCCUGCC
rnacentral:rRNA from 1 species